AAAAAAAUGGAGAAAACGAACUUGUUUGUACCGACUUCUCGAGGAUUACAAUUUGCUCUCUUUGAAAAACCAGUGAUGCCUUGUGUUCUGUAUUUAGGGUCUUGAGAAACUGAUUGAAGAAUUAAAGAUUGAAGAUAUCUUGUAGAUUUUAUUUUAAAAAUAAUAUAUGCUCGUUUUGUGAGUUUCUGUAAACCAACUUCUAUGUUAUUUAAUAUACUAAACUCUCUCCUUUCUUCAAAAAGAGCAAAUUGUAAUCCUCGAGAAGUCGG
rnacentral:misc_RNA from 1 species